rnacentral:rRNA from 1 species
GAUAAACGCUGGCGGCGUGCCUAAUGCAUGCAAGUCGCACGGAGCGCUCUUUCGGGGGUGCUGAGUGGCGAACGGGUGAGGAACGCGUGGACAACCUACCCGGCGUGGGGGAUACCCGCCAGAAAUGGCGGCUAAUACCGCGUACGGUUCUCUGGCGAGGGGCUGGGGAAAGAAAGCCGUGAGGCGCGCUGGGAGGGGUCUGCGGCCGAUUAGCUGGUUGGCGGGGUAAUGGCUCACCAAGGCGAUGAUCGGUAGCUGGUCUGAGAGGAUGAUCAGCCACACGGGGACUGAGACACGGCCCCGACUCCUACGGGAGGCAGCAGCAAGGAAUUUUCCGCAAUGGGGGCAACCCUGAC